CCGGUAAAGAUAGUUUUUCUCACUAUUUUUCAUUAUUUUACUAGACGGAUAGGAUUGUUCCAUUAACCUAUCUGCUAGUUUGUAUGCAAAAUAAUAAAAUCCAAUCUUUCAGAAUUGGAGUAAUGCCUGUGAAAUUUGCUUCCCUGGGUUGCCAGCGCCCGGAGGCUGGUCCCAGCGGCUCUAAUGACUAUAGUAUCCCAGGAUGUGGGGCAGGGCCCAGCUAUGCUCAAAUGAUAACCCCUGAAGGUCCUUGCAAGGAUAUAGGCGGCAUGAAUGGGGCUCGUGGGAAUACCUCGUGUUGCAUCUACUGCCUCUGUGGAAGCUGUUGUGGUGUGGGACUACGGCUGAAUACGCUACUUAAUUAGUCUUAAUUCAAAUAUAGAUUGACUCUUUACUAUAGAAGUUCAGGUAGGACGAUGCCUCAUUAUUGUGUUCAUCAUAAACAUCAUUAGCAGCCGAUGGACGUCCACUGCUGGACAUGGGCCUUUUGCACGGACUUUCUAACACUACGGUCUCGAGCCGACAGGCAUCACGGCUUACCAACACCGCGCUUUCCGAUGCAUGGUCAUUCCAGCACCUUGGGACACCAACAUCAGCUGCUUGUACGUCUUGGCCAAGAAGAGCUUGCAACAAACUCUAUAGUUUAUUUAUCAAUCACUAUUUUACAAUGUUAUUUAUUGCUUUAGUACCAAAUAUGCAUUUUGAUUCCAAGCAGGCCGCUGCGGCGCUGGUUUCAAUACAAAGAAUUGGAAUUUGCAGCUCGUGCUCCUCCAUGCGCUAUUUAUACAGGAUAUUAUUAGAAAUCAUCGUAUCAUAAUAUCAGUCGCCAACUUCGUGGCAAUCUUUUUGUCUGGCAAAUUAAGGGCUAAUCUGAUAAAGAUAAACCUAGUAGAUACAAGAAUAAAAAGCAAGAAAUAGUGACCUGAACAUAUUUUUAUUAAACACCCAAUCACAUACACUGUUACAUAAACUGUUAGACUGCAACAUUGCCGAAUUUACCUCGCGAGUCCUCUACCGGCCACGCCAAUGACUCCAAGGCCUCAACCUUACGAGUCCCAGAGAGAAAGACGGAGACUACCUCGACGUCUUCGGAUCGCCGGCGACUCUAGGAGGAGCGAAACUCGAAAAGCACUAUCGACCCUUCAAAAACCUCGCGAAUCAACUCGUUUCGAGCUUAUUCGAACAUAGGAACCGCUUACUUUAGCGGCAUUUCACUAGAGAUAGUUCCUCUGUUUCAACUCUGCGAGAAACUAGAGUCCAAGCUAGACUUUACGAACGUAGCAACUCCACCGCAUUCUCCGGAAAAUUCUCACUGGAGAGAUUUGCUCCGUUCCACUAGCGAGGAAGGUUCAACUCGUUUGCUCGAGAACGCAGCAACUCCACUUACAUAGGUCCUCUGAAGAAGACCAAAGAGAUUUGCUCCGUUCAACUCUAGCGAGGAAAAGUCCACUGCAUUCAACUCCUGAGCAUUACUCUGUAACAGCAACUCUAUCUCCAGUAGUUUCACCGAAUAGAUUUGCUCUCUUCAGAGUCCAGUGCAUUCAACUCUUGAGGAGUACUCUAUAACGCAGCAACUACACUGCCAUCUCCUGAAGAGAACUUGCUCCGGUCAACUCUUGCGAAGAAUAGAGUCCACAGCAUUCAGCUCUUGAGGAGCAUUCUCUCGAACGCAGUAACUUCACCGCCAUUUCCAGCGGCUCACUGACGAGAACUAGCUCUGAUCGACUCUAGCGAGGCAUAGAGUUCGCUUCGAACUCAUUUGAGGAGCAUUACUCUCGAACGCAGCACUUCACUGCCAUCAACGGUUCUCUUGCUCCGUUCUUAACUCUUGCGAGGAGUAAUUCUGCUCUGCACAAAGCGAUCAGAUCUCUCUGCUUCUCACAAAUACGCGUGGUUACACGUUAAGCCAUAGUUUUCCUCGACACAAGCGUGGACUGUAACUAGGUACGCAGCAUUGCUUCUUGGUAACCAAGCGUGGCUGUGUUCCGCCGCUUAGCAGCAGCCAUACCAGCAACAAGAUCCACAGCAAGGGGAACAGUAGGAAUAGCAAGGCCCACUGCAGCUGUAGGUGUAGCAAGGACUGCAGCACGGAUAGCAAGGCAUUGUUUAACUUGGUCUUGUCUUCUUCGGCAGAAUCACAGUCUUCAAUGUGAGGUUUGUGGUUUGUUGAUUAUUUUUUUUACUUUUUUAUAUUCUAUUUUGUUCUGGUUCUGUUUUUUUUGCAGUGUGUUGAAGGUUUGAAGUUUGGGAUUUGAUUGAUGCAGAAAUGCAAAAUUUUUCUGAUGUUGAUUGAAGAAUAAAUUCUUCUGGAACGCGAUUUGAAAUUUGAAUUUUGUUUUUCUUUUUCGGGUGGUUUAUCGAAAUAGGUACUGUUCUGUAAUAUAAAUCCUCUUCGGAUAUCCAUUAAAUUCAAAAAAAUAACGAUGACAAAUAAAACAUAAGGAAUAAGGAUAGAAAAUAAAAAAUAACAUGAAUAGUUUCUAUACAGCGUUUCUUGAUGUGUACUGUUUACCAACAAACAAAUUUAAAAUGAGGAAUUUAAAUCACACCUAAUAAUAAAUAUAAUUAACUUGUUCUUAAAUUAACGAAAAUAAAUUUUAUUAAUAAGCUUAGAACAAUUAAGAUAUGGUUAAUAUAUUUAAUAUAACAUUUUACAAACAAACCAUACAUAAUUUUAAAUAAAAAAGUUAUGAAAUGGCAUGCGUUUUCUACCUUAAUUUCUAAUUUACUUGUUGGUAAACAGUAUUCAUCAAGAAAGGCUGUAGUAUAAUUUCUAUUCCUUGUAAAGGCAAACGUAAACUAUCCAUCGUCCUCUUACUCAAUACCACAUACUUAUCAUUAAUAGAUUUAAGAGUUAGAAUAAUUACGAGUAACUUUGACAAGAAAGUUUCUAACUUAUAAUAUAAAUAUACUGGUUUUACCCCGCGGCAUCACUUCUAUAAUAUAAUUUUGUCAAUCAAUAUAUAUAAUUACAAAUUACGGGC